rnacentral:rRNA from 1 species
GACGAACGCUAGCGGCGUGCUUAACACAUGCAAGUCGAACGGUAAGGCCCUUCGGGGUACACGAGUGGCGAACGGGUGAGUAACACGUGGGUGAUCUGCCCUGCACUUCGGGAUAAGCCUGAGAAACUGGGUCUAAUACCGGAUAGGACUCCGGACUGCAUGGUCUGGGGUGGAAAGCUUUUGCGGUGUGGGAUGGGCCCGCGGCCUAUCAGCUUGUUGGUGGGGUGAUGGCCUACCAAGGCGACGACGGGUAGCCGGCCUGAGAGGGUAACCGGCCACACUGGGAGUGAGAUACGGCCCAGACUCCUACGGGAGGCAGCAGUGGGGAAUAUUGCACAAUGGGCGCAAGCCUGAUGCAGCGACGCCGCGUGAGGGAUGACGGCCUUCGGGUUGUAAACCUCUUUCAGCAUCGACGAAGCGAAAGUGACGGUAGGUGCAGAAGAAGGACCGGCCAACUACGUGCCAGCCGCCGCUGUAA